AGAACGAACGCUGGCGGCAUGCCUAACACAUGCAAGUCGAACGAGACCUUCGGGUCUAGUGGCGCACGGGUGCGUAACGCGUGGGAAUCUGCCCUUGGGUUCGGAAUAACAGUUGGAAACGACUGCUAAUACCGGAUGAUGACGUAAGUCCAAAGAUUUAUCGCCCAGGGAUGAGCCCGCGUAGGAUUAGCUAGUUGGUGAGGUAAAGGCUCACCAAGGCGACGAUCCUUAGCUGGUCUGAGAGGAUGAUCAGCCACACUGGGACUGAGACACGGCCCAGACUCCUACGGGAGCAGCAGUGGGAAUAUGACAAUGGGCGAAGGCCUAGAUCCAGCGAAUGGCCGCGUGAGUGAGUGAAGGCCUUAAGGGUUGUAAAGUCGUUACUUUUGGACCCGGGUAAGAUAAUGACUAGGUACCGGUAAGAAAUAAGGCUCCGGACUAACCGUCCGUGCCAGCCAGGCCGAC
rnacentral:rRNA from 1 species